UGCGGUUAAAAAGCUCGUAGUUGGAUCUCGGCGGGCAGGGGGUGGUUCGCUCUUCAGCGCUACUGCCCCGCUUUGCCCUUGUGAUUGGCGGAGGUUUCGGGGUGCUCUUCGUUGAGUGACUCGGAGCGCCGUCAGGUUUACUUUGAAAAAAUUAGAGUGCUCAAAGCAGGCUUUUCACGCUUGAAUAUUCGUGCAUGGAAUAAUGGAAUAGGAACUCGUUUCUAUUUUGUUGGUUUUCGGAAAUCGAGUUAAUGAUUAACAGGGACAAUUGGGGGCAUUAGUAUUCAGACGACAGAGGUGAAAUUCUUGGACCGUCUGAAGACUGACUACUGCGAAAGCAUUUGCCAAGAGUGUUUUCAUUAAUCAAGAACGAAAGUUGGAGGCUCGAAGACGAUCAGAUACCGUCCUAGUUCCAACCAUAAACGAUGCCGUCUGCGGAUCGGAGGUCGCUCAUGUAAGGCUCCUUCGGCACGCUAUGAGAAAUCAAAGACUUCGGGUUCCGGGGGGAGUAUGUUCGCAAGAAUGAAACU
rnacentral:rRNA from 1 species